AUCCUGGCUCAGAUUGAACGCUGGCGGCAGGCCUAACACAUGCAAGUCGAGCGGUAGAGAGAAGCUUGCUUCUCUUGAGAGCGGCGGACGGGUGAGUAAUGCCUAGGAAUCUGCCUGGUAGUGGGGGAUAACGUUCGGAAACGGACGCUAAUACCGCAUACGUCCUACGGGAGAAAGCAGGGGACCUUCGGGCCUUGCGCUAUCAGAUGAGCCUAGGUCGGAUUAGCUAGUUGGUGGGGUAAUGGCUCACCAAGGCGACGAUCCGUAACUGGUCUGAGAGGAUGAUCAGUCACACUGGAACUGAGACACGGUCCAGACUCCUACGGGAGGCAGCAGUGGGGAAUAUUGGACAAUGGGCGAAAGCCUGAUCCAGCCAUGCCGCGUGUGUGAAGAAGGUCUUCGGAUUGUAAAGCACUUUAAGUUGGGAGGAAGGGCAGUAAAUUAAUACUUUGCUGUUUUGACGUUACCGACAGAAUAAGCACCGGCUAACU
rnacentral:rRNA from 1 species